AUUGAACGCUGGCGGCAGGCCUAACACAUGCAAGUCGAGCGAGCGGCGGACGGGUGAGUAAUGUAUGAGGAACUGCCCGCUCGAGGGGGAUCAAUACUGGGAACGGUGGCUAAUUCCGCAUACUCUCGGAAGAACCCAUAUGGGAUUAGCUAGUAGGGGGGGUAAAGGCUAACCUAGGCGACGAUCUCUAGCUGGCCUGAGAGGAUGAUCAGCCAAACGGGGACUGAGACACGGCCCAGACCCUUACGGGAGGAAGCAGUGGGGAAGAUUGCACAAUGGGCACAAUCCGGAUGCAGCCAUGCCGCGUGGAGGAAGAAGGCCUUAGGGUUGUAAAGUACUUUCAGCGGGGAGGCGUUACCCGCAGAAGAAGCACCGGCUAACUCCGUGCCAGCAGCCGCGGUAAUAC
rnacentral:rRNA from 1 species